rnacentral:rRNA from 1 species
AUGAACGCUAGCUACAGGCUUAACACAUGCAAGUCGAGGGGCAGCGGGAUUGAAGCUUGCUUCAAUUGCCGGCGACCGGCGCACGGGUGAGUAACGCGUAUCCAACCUUCCGCUUACUCGGGGAUAGCCUUUCGAAAGAAAGAUUAAUACCCGAUGGUAUCUUAAGCACGCAUGAGAUUAAGAUUAAAGAUUUAUCGGUAAGCGAUGGGGAUGCGUUCCAUUAGGCAGUUGGCGGGGUAACGGCCCACCAAACCUACGAUGGAUAGGGGUUCUGAGAGGAAGGUCCCCCACAUUGGAACUGAGACACGGUCCAAACUCCUACGGGAGGCAGCAGUGAGGAAUAUUGGUCAAUGGGCGAGAGCCUGAACCAGCCAAGUAGCGUGAAGGAUGACGGCCCUACGGGUUGUAAACUUCUUUUGUGCGGGAAUAAAGGAACCUACGUGUAGGUUUUUGCAUGUACCGUAACGAAUAAGCAUCGGCUAACUCCGUGCCAGCAGCCGCGGUAAUACGGAGGAUGCGAGCGUUAUCCGGAUUUAUUGGGUUUAAAGGGAGCGUAGACGGGUUUUUAAGUCAGCUGUGAAAGUUUGGGGCUCAACCUUAAAAUUGCAGUUGAAACUGGAGACCUUGAGUACGGUUGAGGCAGGCGGAAUUCGUGGUGUAGCGGUGAAAUGCUUAGAUAUCACGAAGAACCCCGAUUGCGAAGGCAGCCUGCUAAGCCGCCACUGACGUUGAGGCUCGAAAGUGCGGGUAUCAAACAGGAUUAGAUACCCUGGUAGUCCGCACGGUAAACGAUGGAUACUCGCUGUUGGCGAUAGACAGUCAGCGGCCAAGCGAAAGCGUUAAGUAUCCCACCUGGGGAGUACGCCGGCAACGGUGAAACUCAAAGGAAUUGACGGGGGCCCGCACAAGCGGUGGAGUAUGUGGUUUAAUUCGACGCAACGCGAAGAACCUUACCAGGUCUUGACAUACCAGGCAAAGCUAUAGAGAUAUAGUGGAGGUUAUCCUGGAUACAGGUGGUGCAUGGUUGUCGUCAGCUCGUGCCGUGAGGUGUCGGCUUAAGUGCCAUAACGAGCGCAACCCUUGCUGCCAGUUACUAACAGGUCAUGCUGAGGACUCUGGCAGGACUGCCAUCGUAAGAUGCGAGGAAGGUGGGGAUGACGUCAAAUCAGCACGGCCCUUACGUCCGGGGCUACACACAUGUUACAAUGGGGAGUACAGAGGGCAGCUACCGGGCGACCGGAUGCGAAUCCCGAAAGCUCCUCUCAGUUCGGACUGGAGUCUGCAACCCGACUCCACGAAGCUGGAUUCGCUAGUAAUCGCGCAUCAGCCACGGCGCGGUGAAUACGUUCCCGGGCCUUGUACACACCGCCCGUCAAGCCAUGAAAGCCGGGGGUACCUGAAGUACGUAACCGCGAGGAUCGUCCUAGGGUAAAACCGGUAAUUGGGGCU